rnacentral:rRNA from 1 species
GGGUUGUGAGGUUAAGCGACUAAGCGUACACGGUGGAUGCCCUGGCAGUCAGAGGCGAUGAAGGACGUGCUAAUCUGCGAUAAGCGUCGGUAAGGUGAUAUGAACCGUUAUAACCGGCGAUUUCCGAAUGGGGAAACCCAGUGUGAUUCGUCACACUAUCAUUAACUGAAUCCAUAGGUUAAUGAGGCGAACCGGGGGAACUGAAACAUCUAAGUACCCCGAGGAAAAGAAAUCAACCGAGAUUCCCCCAGUAGCGGCGAGCGAACGGGGAGGAGCCCAGAGCCUGAAUCAGUGUGUGUGUUAGUGGAAGCGUCUGGAAAGGCGCGCGAUACAGGGUGACAGCCCCGUACACAAAAAUGCACAUGCUGUGAGCUCGAUGAGUAGGGCGGGACACGUGGUAUCCUGUCUGAAUAUGGGGGGACCAUCCUCCAAGGCUAAAUACUCCUGACUGACCGAUAGUGAACCAGUACCGUGAGGGAAAGGCGAAAAGAACCCCGGCGAGGGGAGUGAAAAAGAACCUGAAACCGUGUACGUACAAGCAGUGGGAGCACGCUUAGGCGUGUGACUGCGUACCUUUUGUAUAAUGGGUCAGCGACUUAUAUUCUGUAGCAAGGUUAACCGAAUAGGGGAGCCGAAGGGAAACCGAGUCUUAACUGGGCGUUAAGUUGCAGGGUAUAGACCCGAAACCCGGUGAUCUAGCCAUGGGCAGGUUGAAGGUUGGGUAACACUAACUGGAGGACCGAACCGACUAAUGUUGAAAAAUUAGCGGAUGACUUGUGGCUGGGGGUGAAAGGCCAAUCAAACCGGGAGAUAGCUGGUUCUCCCCGAAAGCUAUUUAGGUAGCGCCUCGUGAAUUCAUCUCCGGGGGUAGAGCACUGUUUCGGCAAGGGGGUCAUCCCGACUUACCAACCCGAUGCAAACUGCGAAUACCGGAGAAUGUUAUCACGGGAGACACACGGCGGGUGCUAACGUCCGUCGUGAAGAGGGAAACAACCCAGACCGCCAGCUAAGGUCCCAAAGUCAUGGUUAAGUGGGAAACGAUGUGGGAAGGCCCAGACAGCCAGGAUGUUGGCUUAGAAGCAGCCAUCAUUUAAAGAAAGCGUAAUAGCUCACUGGUCGAGUCGGCCUGCGCGGAAGAUGUAACGGGGCUAAACCAUGCACCGAAGCUGCGGCAGCGACGCUUAUGCGUUGUUGGGUAGGGGAGCGUUCUGUAAGCCUGUGAAGGUGUACUGUGAGGUAUGCUGGAGGUAUCAGAAGUGCGAAUGCUGACAUAAGUAACGAUAAAGCGGGUGAAAAGCCCGCUCGCCGGAAGACCAAGGGUUCCUGUCCAACGUUAAUCGGGGCAGGGUGAGUCGACCCCUAAGGCGAGGCCGAAAGGCGUAGUCGAUGGGAAACAGGUUAAUAUUCCUGUACUUGGUGUUACUGCGAAGGGGGGACGGAGAAGGCUAUGUUGGCCGGGCGACGGUUGUCCCGGUUUAAGCGUGUAGGCUGGUUUUCCAGGCAAAUCCGGAAAAUCAAGGCUGAGGCGUGAUGACGAGGCACUACGGUGCUGAAGCAACAAAUGCCCUGCUUCCAGGAAAAGCCUCUAAGCAUCAGGUAACAUCAAAUCGUACCCCAAACCGACACAGGUGGUCAGGUAGAGAAUACCAAGGCGCUUGAGAGAACUCGGGUGAAGGAACUAGGCAAAAUGGUGCCGUAACUUCGGGAGAAGGCACGCUGAUAUGUAGGUGAAGUCCCUCGCGGAUGGAGCUGAAAUCAGUCGAAGAUACCAGCUGGCUGCAACUGUUUAUUAAAAACACAGCACUGUGCAAACACGAAAGUGGACGUAUACGGUGUGACGCCUGCCCGGUGCCGGAAGGUUAAUUGAUGGGGUUAGCGCAAGCGAAGCUCUUGAUCGAAGCCCCGGUAAACGGCGGCCGUAACUAUAACGGUCCUAAGGUAGCGAAAUUCCUUGUCGGGUAAGUUCCGACCUGCACGAAUGGCGUAAUGAUGGCCAGGCUGUCUCCACCCGAGACUCAGUGAAAUUGAACUCGCUGUGAAGAUGCAGUGUACCCGCGGCAAGACGGAAAGACCCCGUGAACCUUUACUAUAGCUUGACACUGAACAUUGAGCCUUGAUGUGUAGGAUAGGUGGGAGGCUUUGAAGUGUGGACGCCAGUCUGCAUGGAGCCGACCUUGAAAUACCACCCUUUAAUGUUUGAUGUUCUAACGUUGACCCGUGAUCCGGGUUGCGGACAGUGUCUGGUGGGUAGUUUGACUGGGGCGGUCUCCUCCUAAAGAGUAACGGAGGAGCACGAAGGUUGGCUAAUCCUGGUCGGACAUCAGGAGGUUAGUGCAAUGGCAUAAGCCAGCUUGACUGCGAGCGUGACGGCGCGAGCAGGUGCGAAAGCAGGUCAUAGUGAUCCGGUGGUUCUGAAUGGAAGGGCCAUCGCUCAACGGAUAAAAGGUACUCCGGGGAUAACAGGCUGAUACCGCCCAAGAGUUCAUAUCGACGGCGGUGUUUGGCACCUCGAUGUCGGCUCAUCACAUCCUGGGGCUGAAGUAGGUCCCAAGGGUAUGGCUGUUCGCCAUUUAAAGUGGUACGCGAGCUGGGUUUAGAACGUCGUGAGACAGUUCGGUCCCUAUCUGCCGUGGGCGCUGGAGAAUUGAGGGGGGCUGCUCCUAGUACGAGAGGACCGGAGUGGACGCAUCACUGGUGUUCGGGUUGUCAUGCCAAUGGCACUGCCCGGUAGCUAAAUGCGGAAGAGAUAAGUGCUGAAAGCAUCUAAGCACGAAACUUGCCCCGAGAUGAGUUCUCCCUGACUCCUUGAGAGUCCUGAAGGAACGUUGAAGACGACGACGUUGAUAGGCCGGGUGUGUAAGCGCAGCGAUGCGUUGAGCUAACCGGUACUAAUGAACCGUGAGGCUUAACCUUACAACGCCGAAG